GACGAACGCUGGCGGCGUGCCUAAUACAUGCAAGUCGAACGAGAGCGACCGGUGCUUGCACUGGUCAAUCUAGUGGCGAACGGGUGAGUAACACGUGGGUAACCUGCCCAUCAGAGGGGGAUAACAUCCGGAAACGGAUGCUAAAACCGCAUAGGUCUUCGAACCGCAUGGUUUGAAGAGGAAAAGAGGCGCAAGCUUCUGCUGAUGGAUGGACCCGCGGUGCGUUAGCUAGUUGGUGAGGUAACGGCUCACCAAGGCCGGGAUGCAUAGCCGACCUGAGAGGGUGAUCGGCCACAUUGGGACGGAGAGACGGCCGAAACUCCUACGGGAGGCAGCAGUAGGGAAUCUUCCGCGAUGGACGCAAGUCUGACGGAGCAACGCCGCGUGAGUGAAGAAGGUUUUCGGAUCGUAAAACUCUGUUGUUAGGGAAGAACAAGUGCUAGAGUAACUGUUAGCGCCUUGACGGUAGCUAACCAGAAAGACACGGCUAAGUACGUG
rnacentral:rRNA from 1 species